GCAGCAGUGGGGAAUUUUGGACAAUGGGCGCAAGCCUGAUCCAGCCAUGCCGCGUGCAGGAUGAAGGCCUUCGGGUUGUAAACUGCUUUUGUACGGAACGAAAAGACUCUGGUUAAUACCUGGGGUCCAUGACGGUACCGUAAGAAUAAGCACCGGCUAACUACGUGCCAGCAGCCGCGGUAAUACGUAGGGUGCGAGCGUUAAUCGGAAUUACUGGGCGUAAAGCGUGCGCAGGCGGUUAUAUAAGACAGAUGUGAAAUCCCCGGGCUCAACCUGGGAACUGCAUUUGUGACUGUAUAGCUAGAGUACGGCAGAGGGGGAUGGAAUUCCGCGUGUAGCAGUGAAAUGCGUAGAUAUGCGGAGGAACACCGAUGGCGAAGGCAAUCCCCUGGGCCUGUACUGACGCUCAUGCACGAAAGCGUGGGGAGCAAACAGGAUUAGAUACCCUGGUAGUCCACGCCCUAAACGAUGUCAACUGGUUGUUGGGUCUUCAUUCACUCAGUGACGCAGGUACCGUU
rnacentral:rRNA from 1 species